CGGAAUAUAGCGCAGUCUGGUAGCGCACCUGUUUUGGGUACAGGGGGUCGGGGGUUCGAAUCCCUCUAUUCCGACCA
rnacentral:tRNA from 1 species